AAUUACAUGUUAUAAUAACUAUUGGAAAAGUUGAGAUGGUGACUUCUGGACUGAAAGGUCGUGAUGCUUAUGGUGUAAAUACUAUAAACUCAGAUCCCACAGAAAGGAAGAAAAACGUGUCUAUUUCAGAUGCGUUACAACUAAUGCUAGCGUUUGGAACUUUUAUCCUUACGUUUAUUGGCUUAGU
rnacentral:sRNA from 1 species